GAAGAUCUCAUGGUCAUUGCCACCCUG
rnacentral:piRNA from 1 species